AUGCCAUCUUAAGGAUGACGAAAAGCCAGAUGAUGUUCAUGUGUCCUUUGCUAAGAAAAAGGUCAAGUCCCAGGCUGAGAAAGGCAAUUCAUCCUCCGAGGCGGAAAAAGCCGUUACCUGUCGAUCAGCGGAAGAAUUCCAUCUUAGUAAUACAAAAGAUGAAAAGUCCUCUACUGAGAAAGGCAACUCAUCCUCGGCUGCAGCAAAAGGGAACACUCCCAUAACUACACCAGCUACUGUAUCUGAAGUGGCUCGUUCUGCGAAAAACGAUGACCGGCUUUCCCAGAGCCAAUGGAACUCCAAAACCCCCUCGAAAACUGAAGAGCAAGGAUUCUUUGGCAACGUGUUUUGGGGAUUGUUACAUCACGCUUCGUCGAAUCUAUAGGUACAUAAGACUCAACUACUUUGGUUUUCUAUGUCUUCCCGAGUGAUCUGCUUUUCUUGCUCCAGGACCAUCCUUGUAAUUAUUAAUUGUAACUUAGUAUAAUAAAAGUGUCGAGAAACGAUAGCGUGAAAAUGUAGUACCAUAAGUAACUAAUGUGUAGUUAACGUUGUGAACAUUUUGUAAAAUGAAGAGUUGAGUUAAGUAUUGUAAAUAUUUAUUUGAUUCAAUUGAUAAUACGGGCAUAUAAUUACAUGCCAUUCUUGAAAAUAAAAUUUUU